AUGGUAGCACAUGAGUUUAUUGUUGACAAUGAUGAUAAGAUGCUUCUGUAUAACCUGAGAUUUAAUAAGAAACACAAUGAGAUUAUUAUCCUGCCUGCACCUUAUUUGUUUGAUUUAACUGCAGGCCAUUACCUCGUCUUCCCAUCGGCCGCGUACGCGCACGGAGGCCAGACAUCAGCUCCAGAGCCUAAGCCGGAACCACCACUGGACCCUUAUCUUCCAUCAUCUUAUCAGUGGGACCCGGAGCAGAUUGCCAGCCAGUGGCAGUACGAUGACACUCCUCAGUACACCGGGGAGAGUAGCCGCGAUCCAUGGCAAUAG
rnacentral:rRNA from 1 species